UACGUAGGGUGCGAGCGUUGUCCGGAAUUAUUGGGCGUAAAGAGCUUGUAGGCGGUCUGUCGCGUCUGCUGUGAAAACUCAGGGCUUAACCCUGAGCUUGCAGUGGGUACGGGCAGACUAGAGUGCGGUAGGGGAGACUGGAAUUCCGUGGUGUAGCGGUGAAAUGCGCAGAUAUCAGGAGGAACACCGGUGGCGAAGGCGAGUCCCUGGACAACACCUGACACUGGAGGCACGAAAGCUAGGGGAGCAAACAGG
rnacentral:rRNA from 1 species